rnacentral:lncRNA from 1 species
UGAAAAUUGAGUGCUGAAUGCCCUGUGUGCUGUCCAUACUAAGGCCCGAGGACCGAGAGUGCUGAGUGCAGCAGGGACAUGUCAUUCAAAGCAGUCAGCUGGAAAGUGCAAUCUCUCUUGAAGACUUUUUUCUUUCCAAACCCCAAUCAUCUACUUGGAAAGAGCCAAAGUAAAAUGUCUUCCGCCAGCCUAUCUCAAAUACUUCACAUGUGUAGCAUAUAACAUUCUUCCUAGUCAAAAAACAAUAUAUAAAUGUAUUAGAAUGUUCCUAGGCACAUGUCAAGAACAAUUUUAAUGAAUAAAAAUUCUGUUUUGUUCAGUACAUCCAAAAUGCAAUAGUCAUAUUAAGAUACACAGAAGUAUUUUUUUUUUACUUCAGGAGAUUAAGUUUCAUAAAUUAGACCUCCACUAGUUUACAUAAAAUGUCAACCUUUUGAAAAAGAGAGUGGAAGUCCUGCCAGAAGUUUACUCCUGUUCACAUCUUCUGCUCCCUUUCUGUGUAAACAUUUACUUUGAAUUUUUUAAAACUUUGAAAUAGUAGUUAUGUAAGUUCAGUCUCAUUUGAUCAUAAGUUUCUCUUCUUAAAAAAAUCUUUCUCAGAACAUAUUCAUUUAGAAACGUGUUAACGUAUAAUGAUGUAAAAAUAUUUUAUGCCAUAUGUUAUAAUCACCUCGCAACCUAAGUGAGAAAAUGAUGAAAGUUCAAAAGAUUUGGCACAGGAAGAACACUAAACAAAUUCUGGGAAUAAAAAAGGCUU